GAGUUUGGUCCUGGCUCAGGAUGAACGCUGGCGGCGUGCUUAACACAUGCAAGUCGAACGAAGCGCCUUAUUUGAUUUUCUUCGGAACUGAAGAUUUGGUGACUGAGUGGCGGACGGGUGAGUAACGCGUGGUAACCUGCCCUGUACAGGGGGAUAACAAUCAGAAAUGACUGCUAAUACCGCAUAAGACCACAGCACCGCAUGGUGCAGGGGUAAAAACUCCGGUGGUACAGGAUGGACCCGCGUCUGAUUAGCUGGUUGGUGAGGUAACGGCUCACCAAGGCGACGAUCAGUAGCCGGCUUGAGAGAGUGAACGGCCACAUUGGGACUGAGACACGGCCCAAAACUCCUACGGGAGGCAGCAGUGGGGAAUAUUGCACAAUGGGGGAAACCCUGAUGCAGCAACGCCGCGUGAGUGAAGAAGUAUUUCGGUAUGUAAAAGCUCUAUCAGCAGGGAAGAAAAGUGACGGUACCUGACUAAAGAAGCCCCGGCUAACUACGUG
rnacentral:rRNA from 1 species